UUCACUAUUGGCCGAGUUUGAUUUGCUCUCUCAAUUACAAAACCAAGUACGAACACUCGCUUAACUAUUAAAUCUGACUCAUUUUGCGCUUUUGGACAGUUUGAAGAACCAUUUUGCUUGUUACUGAGAAAUAUUCACAUAUUUGCUUGUUUUAUACCGAGGUUUAGUUGAUGUAACAUAUCGUGCUUACGUGUAAAACUUUUACUUAUUUGUAUAACAC
rnacentral:lncRNA from 1 species